rnacentral:ribozyme from 14 species
AAGGAUGUUUUGUGUUUCUGUUUUGCUGUUCGUUUCCUUUCUGUCUUUUGCUUUUUCUACACGCACGCUCUCAGCUCUUUUGUUGUUUUGAGGAUGAAGGACGUUUCCACAAGAGGUCUUUGGACCUGGGAGAGAACAAGCUGAUGAAGAUGAAGGGGUCUCUUUUCCUUUUUUUUUU